AUACGUAGGGUCCAAGCGUUAUCCGGAUUUACUGGGUGUAAAGGGCGACGUAGGCGGAUGUACAAGUCAGAUGUGAAAUACCGCAGCUUAACUGCGGGGCUGCAUUUGAAACUGUACAUCUUGAGUGCGGGAGAGGUAAGCGGAAUUCCGAGUGUAGCGGUAAAAUGCAUAGAUAUUCGGAGGAACACCAGUGGCGAAGGCGGCUUACUGGACCGUAACUGACGCUGAAGCACGAAAGCGUGGGGAUC
rnacentral:rRNA from 1 species